AACUGGGUAGCAAUACUCGGUUAUGAGACCGGCAAACGGGUGCGGAACACGUACGCAACCUUCCCAAAACUGGUGAAUAGCCCUCCGAAAGGAGGAUUAAUACACCGUAACUUAAUGAAGUGGCAUCACUUUAUUAAUAUAGCUCCGGCGGUUUUGGAUGGGCGUGCGCCUGAUUAGGUAGUUGGCGGGGUAACGGCCCACCAAGCCUACGAUCAGUAACUGGUGUGAGAGCACGACCAGUCACACGGGCACUGAGACACGGGCCCGACUCCUACGGGAGGCAGCAGUAAGGAAUAUUGGUCAAUGGACGAAAGUCUGAACCAGCCAUGCCGCGUGAAGGAUGACGGCCCUCUGGGUUGUAAACUUCUUUUAUCUGGGACGAAAAAAGGUCAUUCUUGAUCACUUGACGGUACCAGAGGAAUAAGCACCGGCUAACUCCGUGCCAGCAGCCGCGGUAAUACGGAGGGUGCAAGCGUUAUCCGGAUUUACUGGGUUUAAAGGGUGCGUAGGUGGGUCUGUAAGUCAGUGGUGAAAUCUUCGAGCUUAACUCGGAAACUGCCAUUGAUACUAUAGGUCUUGAAUCAUCUGGAGGUGAGCGGAAUAUGUCAUGUAGCGGUGAAAUGCUUAGAUAUGACAUAGAACACCGAUUGCGAAGGCAGCUCACUACGGAUGUAUUGACACUGAGGCACGAAAGCGUGGGGAUCAAACAGGAUUAGAUACCCUGGUAGUCCACGCCCUAAACGAUGGAUACUCGACAUUUGCGAUAUACUGUAAGUGUCUGAGCGAAAGCAUUAAGUAUCCCACCU
rnacentral:rRNA from 1 species